rnacentral:rRNA from 1 species
CUCCUUUGACGUUAGCGGCGGACGGGUGAGUAACACGUGGGUAACCUACCUAUAAGACUGGGAUAACUUCGGGAAACCGGAGCUAAUACCGGAUAAUAUUUCAACCGCAUGGUUCGAUAGUGAAAGGUGGUUUUGCUAUCACUUAUAGAUGGACCCGCGCCGUAUUAGCUAGUUGGUAAGGUAACGGCUUACCAAGGCGACGAUACGUAGCCGACCUGAGAGGGUGAUCGGCCACACUGGAACUGAGACACGGUCCAGACUCCUACGGGAGGCAGCAGCC